rnacentral:rRNA from 1 species
AACGCGAAGAACCUUACCUGGGCUUGACAUGCUUGGAUUAUCUCCAUGAAAGUGGAGUAGGCCCUUCGGGGUACAACAAGUACAGGUGCUGCAUGGCUGUCGUCAGCUCGUGUCGUGAGAUGUCGGGUUAAGUCCCUUAACGAGCGAAACCUUUGCCCUUAGUUACCAGCGGGUUAUGCCGGGGACUCUAAGGGGACUGCCGGUGUCAAACCGGAGGAAGGUGGAGAUGACGUCAAGUCCUCAUGGCCUUUAUGCCCAGGGCCACACACGUGCUACAAUGCGGCGCAUAAAGCGAACCGAGAGCGCAAGCUGGAGGAAAUCGCACAAAUCGUCGCCCAGUUCAGAUUGGAGGCUGCAACUCGCCUCCAUGAAGUUGGAAUCGCUAGUAAUCGCGGAUCAGCUACGCCGCGGUGAAUGUGUUCCCGGGCCUUGUACACACGACUGUAC